rnacentral:sRNA from 1 species
UUUUAGCCCAGAUGGAAGUGAAAACCCCGGACUUAUAUUUGUUAGUUUUUAUUGGGAUAAAAGAGCGACUUUAGAAGCUCCUUUUAUGCCUUAAAAAAACAACAAAUAUAAGGAGGAGUUGUAACGUACAGCUGGAAUAGCU